rnacentral:rRNA from 1 species
ACAGCAGUAGCCGCGGUAAUGCGUAGGGUGCGAGCGUUAAUCGGAAUUACUGGGCGUAAAGCGUGCGCAGGCGGUUAUACAAGACAGAUGUGAAAUCCCCGGGCUCAACCUGGGACCUGCAUUUGUGACUGUAUAGCUAGAGUACGGUAGAGGGGGAUGGAAUUCCGCGUGUAGCAGUGAAAUGCGUAGAUAUGCGGAGGAACACCGAUGGCGAAGGCAAUCCCCUGGACCUGUACUGACGCUCAUGCACGAAAGCGUGGGGAGCAAACAGGAUUAGAUACCCCCGUAGUCCCUGUCUCUUAUAC